rnacentral:rRNA from 1 species
GUCCACGCUGUAAACGAUGAAUACUAGGUGUUGGAUCGCAAGAUUCAGUGCCGCAGCUAACGCAUUAAGUAUUCCACCUGGGGAGUACGAUCGCAAGGUUGAAACUCAAAGGAAUUGACGGGGGCCCCGCACAAGCAGUGGAGCAUGUGGUUUAAUUCGAUGCAACGCGAAGAACCUUACCUAGGCUUGAAAGGCAAGUGACCGGCUGUGAAAGCAGCCUUCCCGCAAGGGCACUUGUACAGGUGCUGCAUGGCUGUCGU